rnacentral:tRNA from 1 species
CAAAAAAUAGUUUAAUUUAGAAUGUUAGCUUUGGGAGCUAGUGGUGGGAGUUAAAAUCUCCUUUUUUUGG